rnacentral:rRNA from 1 species
CAGCCUCCGCGGUAAUACGUAGGGUGCGAGCGUUAAUCGGAUUUACUGGGCGUAAAGCGUGCGCAGGCGGCCCGUUAAGACAGGUGUGAAAUCCCUGGGCUCAACCUAGGAAUUGCGCUUGUGACUGGCGGGCUCGAGUACGGUAGAGGGGGGUGGAAUUCCUGGUGUAGCAGUGAAAUGCGUAGAGAUCAGGAGGAACACCGAUGGCGAAGGCAGCCCCCUGGGCCUGUACUGACGCUCAUGCACGAAAGCGUGGGGAGCAAACAGGAUUAGAUACCCUGGUAGUCCACGCCCUAAACGAUGGGUACUAGCCGUUUGGUGCGCGAUAGCGCUGAGUGGCGAAGCUAACGCGUGAAGUACCCCGCCUGGGGAGUACGGCCGCAAGGUUGAAACUUAAAGGAAUUGGCGGG